rnacentral:rRNA from 1 species
UACGAAGGGGGCUAGCGUUGUUCGGAAUUACUGGGCGUAAAGCGCACGUAGGCGGAUAUGUAAGUCAGGGGUGAAAUCCCGGGGGCUCAACCUCGGAACUGCCUUUGAUACUGCAAAUCUUGAGUCCGGAAGAGGUGAGUGGAACUGCGAGUGUAGAGGUGAAAUUCGUAGAUAUUCGCAAGAACACCAGUGGCGAAGGCGGCUCACUGGCCCGAUACUGACGCUGAGGCACGAAAGCGUGGGGAGCAAACAGG